rnacentral:rRNA from 1 species
AUUGAACGCUGGCGGCAGGCCUAACACAUGCAAGUCGAGCGAGCGGCGGACGGGUGAGUAAUGUAUGGGGACUGCCCGAUAGAGGGGGAUAACUACUGGAAACGGUGGCUAAUACCGCAUACUAUCGGAUAACCCAUAUGGGAUUAGCUAGUAGGUGGGGUAAAGGCGCACCUAGGCGACGAUCCCUAGCUGGUCUGAGAGGAUGACCAGCCAAACUGGGACUGAGACACGGCCCAGACUCGUACGGAGGCAGCAGGGGGGAAUAUUGCACAAUGGGCGCAAGCCUGAUGCAGCCAUGCGGCGUGUAUGAAGAAGGCCGUCGGGUUGUAAAGGACUUGCAGCGGGGAGGCGUUACCCGCAGAAGAAGCACCGGCUAACUCCGUGCCAGCAGCCGCGGUAAUUC